UGGAUGGUGUAAAGCUCCGGCGGUGCAGGAUGAGCCCGCGGCCUAUCAGCUUGUUGGUGAGGUAGUGGCUCACCAAGGCGACGACGGGUAGCCGGCCUGAGAGGGCGACCGGCCACACUGGGACUGAGACACGGCCCAGACUCCUACGGGAGGCAGCAGUGGGGAAUAUUGCACAAUGGGCGAAAGCCUGAUGCAGCGACGCCGCGUGAGGGAUGACGGCCUUCGGGUUGUAAACCUCUUUCAGCAGGGAAGAAGCGAAAGUGACGGUACCUGCAGAAGAAGCGCCGGCUAACUACGUGCCAGCAGCCGCGGUAAUACGUAGGGCGCAAGCGUUGUCCGGAAUUAUUGGGCGUAAAGAGCUCGUAGGCGGCUUGUCACGUCGGUUGUGAAAGCCCGGGGCUUAACCCCGGGUCUGCAGUCGAUACGGGCAGGCUAGAGUUCGGGUAGGGGAGAUCG
rnacentral:rRNA from 1 species